UAGGGAAUCUUCCGCAAUGGACGCAAGUCUGACGGAGCAACGCCGCGUGAGUGAAGAAGGAUUUCGGUUCGUAAAACUCUGUUGUUAGAGAAGAACAGCGCAUAGAGUAACUGUUAUGCGUGUGACGGUAUCUAACCAGAAAGCCACGGCUAACUACGUGCCAGCAGCCGCGGUAAUACGUAGGUGGCAAGCGUUGUCCGGAUUAUUUGGGCGUAAAGCGAGCGCAGGCGGUCAAUUAAGUCUGAUGUGAAAGCCCCCGGCUCAACCGGGGAGGGUCAUUGGAAACUGGUUGACUUGAGUGCAGAAGAGGAGAGUGGAAUUCCAUGUGUAGCGGUGAAAUGCGUAGAUAUAUGGAGGAACACCAGUGGCGAAGGCGACUCUCUGGUCUGUAACUGACGCUGAGGUUCGAAAGCGUGGGUAGCAAACAGG
rnacentral:rRNA from 1 species